rnacentral:rRNA from 1 species
UGGGGAAUAUUGGACAAUGGGCGCAAGCCUGAUCCAGCAAUGCCGCGUGUGUGAAGAAGGCCUUCGGGUUGUAAGGCACUUUUAUCAGGAGCGAAACGCUGUCGGCUAAUACCCGGCGGAACUGACGGUACCUGAGGAAUAAGCACCGGCUAACUUCGUGCCAGCAGCCGCGGUAAUACGAAGGGUGCAAGCGUUAAUCGGAAUUACUGGGCGUAAAGCGUGCGUAGGCGGUUUCUUAAGUCUGCUGUGAAAUCCCCGGGCUCAACCUGGGAAUGGCAGUGGAUACUGGGAGGCUAGAGUGUGUCAGAGGGUGGUGGAAUUCCCGGUGUAGCGGUGAAAUGCGUAGAGAUCGGGAGGAACAUCAGUGGCGAAGGCGGCCACCUGGGACAACACUGACGCUGAGGCACGAAAGCGUGGGGAGCAAACAGGAUUAGAUACCCUGGUAGUCCACGCCCUAAACGAUGCGAACUGGAUGUUGGUCUCAACUCGGAGAUCAGUGUCGAAGCUAACGCGUUAAGUUCGCCGCCUGGGGAGUACGGUCGCAAGACUGAAACUCAAAUGAAUUGACGGGGUCAUAGCUGUUUCCUG